ensembl:lncRNA
GCAACGACUCCCAGGUGCCGCGGGGCCGCGGCCGGCCGGGCGCAGCUGCGCCUCGUCGGGAGCCGCGGGCGGGGCCCGCCCCAAAGCCUCUUAAGCUCCGCCGGAGGCUGCUGGGAGCCACGGAGGAGUUUCUGCGGUUCUCUGUUGGAAGCGAAAUGGACUUUGGUUUCUUUGCGCGGCUUUAGAGCUGCUGGGGUUGAGGAGCGGUAUGAGGGGCUGUUUUUAAAAUGGUGCCUUGGGGUUCUCUUUAUUGUUCUCGUUGUGUGGUUUUGUUUUAGGCUUCUGUGAGAUCUCCCGCGGUGAGGAUCAGCCCAUACCGAGGAGUGGUUCUGGCUGAACAAGUGGUGCAGCAGAGCCAAAACCGGUAAGGUCGUGGAAGCAGUGAGUGUGGGGGAGUCACCUGGUAAGAUCUCUUUUCUUGGGGGCUUGGUCGGCUACCUAUGCGCCUUCGGGCUCGGCACUGUACCGCCGCUGGGCUCGGGCUCCCGCGUGGGUUUUUAGCGGGGCCGGCACGGUGCUGCCGCCCGAGACCGAGCACGGCUCCGGGGUGGCCUCUUCCCCCGGGAAGGGUUUUGUGGGUGCUCCCACCCAUCCCGUUUCCUGCGGUGGGAGUGAGCAGGUUGGAACGAUGUAUUUCUCUGCCUUUUCCUUCACGUGUAGCUUCAGGAGCACGGUUUAGGUUGCCACUGCAGAGACCUGGCAGGGCAGCUCGCACGACUGGAGUGCUGUCGUGGAUGGCUCUGUUCCUUUUAGGAAAGACAGACCGGCCAGGCGGUGGAGUCUCUCUUCGAGGGAGAGAACGGGAACGUAUCGAGCUCCACCUAGGGAUGACUGAAGAAGCAGCGGAGCAUUUGCGUGUGAGGCUGAAGAGGCAGCUGAAAGUGUUGUUCACAGCUGUGAGGCCAGUUCUCAUGGUAGACUCCAGGAGUUUCCUGCAAUGUGUCAAAGUUUCAGUGGUUGCUGCUGAGACUGCUCCUGGGGAACCUGGGAUCCUGGAGGAAAGAGGCUGAGGAAGGAUGAUUUCCCCUCAGCUGCGGAGGAGCUGGUCAAAGGAAAGGUACCUGAAGACUGGAGGAUAGCUGAUGUCACCACAGCCUUCAGAAAAGGUGUCAUUGCCAUGUGACCAGAAGAGAAGAAGUUUGUAAGGAGCAGUCAAGAUGGAUUCACAGAGGGGAAUUCAUGCUGGACCAAAAGGGCAAAGGAGAGCUUUGCAGAGAGGAUUGGCUGGAACAGGUGUGCGCUUUUCCCAGUGGUGGGAUGAAGGAGGGUGGAAGGUCAUGCCCUGAAGGAGGGGAGUUAAGGGAGAGUGGCCCUUUCCAGCUGGAGCUGGGGGUCCCGGUGCGGCUGAUGUCCCGUGGGGAAGAUGCAGAUCCCGGGAGCUGCGACCAGGAGGAGGAGCGGAGCCAGCAGUGGCUCCUGUGUGGUGAUGGCUGCUUAGUGGUGGUGUUCCUGGUCCUGGGCUGAAAGGAGGAGGAGGAGAAAGCUUUUAGUGCCUUACUUCAAAGCUCAGGCUUGGAUGACCUUGCUGAGGCUGAACAAGAGUACAAAACCUGUGAGUUAAAUGGGUGGAACAAAACUACAGCUGCUGCACCUUACCGGGCCGAGAGUCGUGACCUGAUCUUCCAUCUUUUACACAAAACGAGUCAGAUCUUCAGCUUGCUGCCACGAGUAACUCACACAUUCUCCAAUUCCUCGUAUGGAAAGAAGGUUUUCUUCUAAGGGAUUAUUCCAAUGCGUAAAAUCGGUGAAUUCACCUGUACAGUAAUGAAAUACUUUCAAUAAUUUCAUGCAAAACUUUCUUUAAGCAGUGCCUUGGGCCAAUCUUUCCAUGUGAGAGCUGCAUCAGUAAAAGUUCUCCUUUCGGUCCAUUUCUGACUUAUUUUUUAUAAUUUAGUUUAAAAGUUCAAGUCAUCCAACCAAAGCUGUGACAACAGGAAUAACAGGCUCGUGGUAUAACAGCAGUAGGAUUUAGGCACCUGUGGAGGGAGAAACACUGAAGAUUUCACCGUGGGUUCAGGGUGGGCCAAACAUUAAAAUCCCUUUCUUGGUUUAAGAUCAGAAUGCACCUUCGUGGGAUUCAUUUCUUCCUUACAUCUCAGUAACCAAGUAUGCAUUGAGUGACCUACACCUUUAAGGGGGAAAAUGGUCUCAGUCAAGCGCUGGAUGAAUAUAAAUAGUAAUAAUAAAAGCCUAUCAGUAAGGAAAAGCUGAGCAUUCUUUUUGAAUGCAAACAUAAUAAUUAAUAAUAAUCAUAAUCAUAAUCUGUGGCACAGGACCCAAAGAGACCUUUUCCUCACAGUUUCACACAGCAGUUCUCUCAUCAGCUCUGAAACCAUCUACCUCUGCAACUCAGAAAGCUUUCUUUUUUUCUUUUCCUGAAAGUUCAAGGAUACGUUAUCCAUUUUCUGGGCAAGUUUAGAACUUUGGGUCUCACUUCUGCAUACACGGAUUCUUCUCUAAAGUCACUAAGACAGAACAAAACCCGAGACCCUCUUUGGACUGCAAAUCCAGAAGCAUUCGACCCUGCGGUUCUGCCAAGCAGUGUGAAACACCGUAUUUGUAUCCGCCUCACGGAGCUCCCGCCCGAGUUUUUUCUCCGCGCUGAGCAUCAGUCUGCAGUCCUCGGUAAUUCCGGUAGAGGGCAAUACAAUAAAGCCAUUCAUAGAGGGCUCUCCGAGGCAGCUGCCGUAACUGGCUCCCACAGAACGCCUCAGGCUUUCUUCUUGUUCUGGAUUGGUGUGCUAAUGCCAAAUAUUUACAAUUGAAUCUUUUUUUGAUCCCGGGAACGCUCAUACUGCUUAUUUCUUCUUUGACAGCACAAACGCACGGGCGCGUUCUCAGUGCCUGAAAACAUCUCUAUGCAAAAAUCAAGAUAUAACUCUCUUUGCUACCACUUUUUUUUUGUCUCAUCCUCAGCCAUCCGUUUGAAUGUAAACGUUACAGUAUACCUCACAUCCGUAAGGAGUCUUUACAUUCAGGUGUAGUUUUAAAAAGUCUCAUAGGAACCUCUUGCAGUCGAUUAAUGGGCACAUCGGAAGCAAAUCAACUGGAAGUACGGGAUGAGUGUUAUUUAAUUCUCCCUAGGGCUUUGCUAUUCACACACUCCUCUGUGCAGGUAGAUAUUCACGUGCGUAUGAAAGGAAAACUCACCUUCAAGGCGUAACAAAGGGAAACCGCGCUGAGAUCAUUCGUAGGAAAGCAUCAUUUCACAGUACAUAGGUUUAUGGAUUGUGAGAGAUAGUGAUGCAUUUGUAAGGAUGAUCCCUACGAUAAGGUUCUGUGGUUUUAUUUUCUCAAGUCUAGACGUAUUUAGUCAAUAAUGAUUUCUUCAAAAGAUAGCCACAUCUCCAAGACAAGAACAGAACGGCCACGUGGCAGAUUUCACACAACCUCACAACAGUACCAUGAACUGUACGGGAGUUUCAUAAUUCAUGAAGGAACAAUAUUCCCUCCCGGGCACUAAAACUAGUCCAGAUAGCACCAAGAACAGCUGGUAAGUCGGACAGUGUGAUUUCCCCUCUCCUCAAGUAUAGAGAGACACAAGUAUGAAACAGCUGGAAAACAUAUUCAAAGGAUGACAGGCACCACGUCACAGCAGAAGUGCCAGAAGUCGCACCGAAAUCUGAAGUGUACCAAAGUGAGAAUCAAGGAGAAAAAUGAACACCAGAAAGUAGACUUUUGCUGCGCAUGGAGUUGUUCUAGUGAUUCACGUUAACACCACAACUUUCCAUGGAAUGAAAACGGUAACAUUGAAGCUUUAGAAACCUUCUCUGUAUUCACAAAUAAUGUUCCACGCUAGCUCACCUAUUUUUUUGCUGAGUACUUAAAUUUUGAAGUGAAG